GCCACAUCCUGUGAGGUGUUUGAAUAUGGCUCGCCGGCCCACUGGGUGAUAAAAAGUUCAUGAUCCGGCCCUACAUUCAAAAUGGUUGGACACCCCUGGGUUAGACGAAACUCACAGGA